rnacentral:rRNA from 1 species
GAUGAACGCUGGCGGCGUGCCUAAUACAUGCAAGUCGAGCGAACAGAUAAGGAGCUUGCUCCUUUGACGUUAGCGGCGGACGGGUGAGUAACACGUGGAUAACCUACCUAUAAGACUGGGAUAACUUCGGGAAACCGGAGCUAAUACCGGAUAACAUAUUGAACCGCAUGGUUCAAUAGUGAAAGGCGGCUUUGCUGUCACUUAUAGAUGGAUCCGCGCCGUAUUAGCUAGUUGGUAAGGUAACGGCUUACCAAGGCAACGAUACGUAGCCGACCUGAGAGGGUGAUCGGCCACACGGGAACUGAGACACGGUCCAGACUCCUGCGGGAGGCCGCAGUAGGGAAUCUUCCGCAAUGGGCGAAAGCCUGACGGAGCAACGCCGCGUGAGUGAUGAAGGUCUUCGGAUCGUAAAACUCUGUUAUCAGGGAAGAACAAAUGUGUAAGUAACUGUGCACAUCUUGACGGUACCUGAUCAGAAAGCCACGGCUAACUACGUG